GGAUCGGUACGUUGGGCACUAGGUGUGGGGGACAUUCCACGUUUUCCGCGCCGUAGCUAACGCAUUAAGUGCCCCGCCUGGGGAGUACGGCCGCAAGGCUAAAACUCAAAGGAAUUGACGGGGGCCCGCACAAGCGGCGGAGCAUGCGGAUUAAUUCGAUGCAACGCGAAGAACCUUACCAAGGCUUGACAUGAACCGGAAAGACCUGGAAACAGGUGCCCCGCUUGCGGUCGGUUUACAGGUGGUGCAUGGUUGUCGUCAGCUCGUGUCGUGAGAUGUUGGGUUAAGUCCCGCAACGAGCGCAACCCUCGUUCUAUGUUGCCAGCACGUGAUGGUGGGGACUCAUAGGAGACUGCCGGGGUCAACUCGGAGGAAGGUGGGGACGACGUCAAAUCAUCAUGCCCCUUAUGUCUUGGGCUUCACGCAUGCUACAAUGGCCGGUACAAAGGGUUGCGAUACUGUGAGGUGGAGCUAAUCCCAAAAAGCCGGUCUCAGUUCGGAUUGGGGUCUGCAACUCGACCCCAUGAAGUCGGAGUCGCUAGUAAUCGCAGAUCAGCAACGCUGCGGUGAAUACGUUCCCGGGCCUUGUACACACCGCCCGUCAAGUCACGAAAGUUGGUAACACCCGAAGCCGGUGGCCUAACCCCUUGUGGGAGGGAGCUGUCGAAGGUGGGACUGGCGAUUGGGACUAAGUCGUAACAAAGGUAACCAA
rnacentral:rRNA from 1 species